UACAGAGGGUGCAAGCGUUAAUCGGAAUUACUGGGCGUAAAGCGUGCGUAGUCGGUUAUUUAAGUCGGGUGUGAAAGCCCCGGGCUCAACCUGGGAAUUGCAUUCGAUACUGGAUAGCUAGAGUUCGGCAGAGGAUGCGGAAUUCCAGGUGUAGCGGUGAAAUGCGUAGAUAUCUGGAGGAACACCGGUGGCGAAGGCGGCAUCCUGGACCGACACUGACGCUGAGGAGCGAAGCCAGGGAGCAAACGGG
rnacentral:rRNA from 1 species